ACCCCAUUCACGAAAAUUUACCCUAAAGUCAAUAAGAACAAGUCCCAAGCCUCAAGAACCAUACAAGGGUUUGCAACAUAAUUCUUUCCAAAGUAAUUCAAGCUAGGGUUUGGGUAUUCUUCAUUAGAAAAGUGAUUUGUUAAACCUUGUUUAACAAAUUAAGCUACUCGGGAGGAAGGGUAGCCACUAUGGAUCCUAGUGUGUCAUUGCCUAGCCAUUCGGGAGGAAGAGUGGCCACCGCUGGGUUCGCUACCUGGGGUGUGAUUCAAGCCUAGCUAUUCGGGGGGAAGGAUAGCCACCGCUGGGUUCGCUACCUGGGGU